AGCCUUUUGGAUCCCUGCUGAGAUUUUGUCAGAUACCAGCCCAUUAGGGCUGAUCAGACUCCCAAGAUAAGUGGAGUU
rfam:Schistosoma mansoni strain Puerto Rico chromosome W, complete genome